rnacentral:rRNA from 1 species
CAUAACGACUCUCGGCAACGGAUAUCUCGGCUCUCGCAUCGAUGAAGAACGUAGCGAAAUGCGAUACGUGGUGUGAAUUGCAGGAUCCCGUGAACCAUCGAGUUUUUGAACGCAAGUUGCGCCCGAAGCCGUUAGGCCGAGGGCACGUCUGCCUGGGCGUCACGC